CACAUCUUUCCUACGCACCCUAAAAAGAAACCUUAUUUCCCAUUCACGCUUUCACAUUGACACAUCUUGCUCUUGCUCUUCCCCUUGCCUGAUCCCCUUUCUCACUCCAAAAUUGCUGCCGCCGGUAGCUCCCAUCAGCUUGAUUCCUUGAUUCAGUGCCUUGAGCUUGCUCGUCCUCACCUACAGCCAGCCCCGCAGCUUGAUUCAUUUGUGCAGCCAUAGGGUGACCUUCGACGGCGGCUGGUUUGUCUCCUGAUCUCCUCGUACGCCUCCUCGGUCUCCUCCUAGGCUGGUAAAUGGCGAUGGAGAGGUAGCAGGGCCCAAGGUGUAGCUGCGCAAGGGAGGAGGUGAGAUCAUCAAUCUGCACGAUGUUGUUGCUGUCUAUGUCCGUGCAGGUGAUGUUGGCGUGGAUUUCGUCUCCAACAGCUGCUUUGAUCCAUCUUUAGUAUGAGGAUGGUGGAGAUGUUUUCUGCCCCUAGAGCGCCGGCCAGACGCAUCCUCCACAUCGGCAACAUUCUUCGAAGUUUGAAGUGUGUUGCCCUACAGCAAGAAAUGAGGCACAUAACUGGGAACGAUUGGACGUGGGGAGAGAAGAAAUGUUACCUUGUUGUUGACCGAAAACAGUAGUAAAGCUCCAACCUCUAGCUGGCUGACAGGAGAUUUCAUAUGUUAACAACAAUGCUCCAAGAGCAAUCCAACCAUCCAAGGCAUAUGGUUUUGGAGAUUAGCAGUUUGCAAAUACGGAAGGAAAAAUACCUUAUAGCAGCUAGCUGUGGGGUGAAAGCAGAUGUGGUUUUGGAGCAGCAGUUUGCAAAUACGGAAGGAAAAAUACCUUAUAGUAGCUAGCUGUGGGGUCAAAGUAGAUUGCAAUUUGAUUUUAAUUUUUUUGAUUCAGUUAUGUUUGCACGUGGCUGUACCACAUCAAAGCUGAUUGAACCUACCUAAUAUCGUGGCAAUUCUUUGGCCCUAUUUUGUCCUGUAGCUGAGCGAAUAUCGAUAUUCUUUUCCCUGGCGGCCAUACAUGCCUAGUAUCUCUUGUGUAUUCAUUGA